rnacentral:rRNA from 1 species
CCUACGGGAGGCAGCAGUGGGGAAUAUUGCACAAUGGGGGAAACCCUGAUGCAGCGACGCCGCGUGAGCGAUGAAGGAUCUCUGGAUGGUAAGCUUCAUCUGUAGGGAAGUAAAUGUCGGUACGUGUCUAAGUAUCCCUGGCCAACUACGUUCCAGCUGCCGAGGCACUAUGGAGGAGGCAAGCGUUAUCCGGAUUUACCGGGUGUAAUGGGGGCGUAGUCGGUCCUGCAAGCCAGAUGUUAAAGCUUGUGGCUCAACCCCAGGACUGCAGUUGAAACUGUAAGGCUGGAGUGUCGGUGAGGCAGGCGGAAUUCGUAGUGUAGCGGUGAAAUGCAUAGAUAUUACGCAGAACACCGAUUGCGAAGGCAGCCUACUAAACGAUGACUGACAUUGAAGCACGAAAGCGUGGGGAGCAAACAGGAUUAGAUACCCUGGUAGUC